UACGGGGGGGGCAAGCGUUGUUCGGAAUUACUGGGCGUAAAGGGUUCGUAGGUGGCCAACUAAGUCAGACGUGAAAUCCCUCAGCUUAACUGGGGAACUGCGUCUGAGACUGGAUGGCUUGAGUGCAGGAGAGGAACGCGGAAUUCCAGGUGUAGCGGUGAAAUGCGUAGAUAUCUGGAGGAACACCGGUGGCGAAGGCGGCGAUCUGGACGAUGACUGACGCUGAGACGCGAAAGCGUGGGGAGCAAACAGG
rnacentral:rRNA from 1 species